GUAGUCUUUCGGAAACCCGGCACCCAUAAGUUUCGUAUUAUAAAUCUUGUCCGGACGAACGAAACGAAGGAAUCACCGAAGAAAAUCUUUGAAGAACGGGCACAGAUACCGAGGCAGCAUUCUGUGUAGCAUUGCUGCUACUCGGAUUGCCUUAUGCAGACAAAAGGUACGUGUACACAACGCUCGCCACUAUCCAUCGAUACUGUUCACCAUGACAAAAAAAAAAAA